rnacentral:sRNA from 1 species
AGUUGCUCAUUCAACUUUUUAUGAUGGCCCCGUAUUUAGACGGAAUUCUGCCUCAUAAGCCUCCGAAUGAUGCCAAAGAAAUGGUGCCUAUCGUCCAACU